AUUCAUCUUUAUAGGUUUCCAUUCCAUAACAAAGAAGUAUGAUUUCUCCAUGGGCUUAUCAGGAGAAAUCCUCUAGAAUUUUUCUGCAUCAGGAUCCUCCUCCGUUCUUUCUCCAUGGGCUUAUCAGGAGAGUACAGGUACUGACGCUUGCGAUUUACUUAUAGGUGGAGGCUUCUCUUCGUCAAACUUUAAGCUCUUCUUUGCAGAGCUUCCUUCAUCAGAUAUGUUCCCCGAAUCAGAGGCUUUUCCUUUCAGCUUUUGGUCCUCUGUAGAUCUCUUUUGAAGGUCGCAGUCGCAGCUUUAUGUGGAACAUGAGCUCGAGCAGGUUGCUGAGCACGAGAGGUAGUAGGUAGGUGCUCUUCCCUAGAGUUUUUUUCUUGAAGAUAAGAUUUUACUAGUUGACUUUCUCUCUUUUUUUACUUUUCUGCUUGAAGCAAAGGAUUUCUCGUAGCUUCUCUUGUUGUAUGUUUUUUUUGGUGUGACAUCUUUUCUAGUUCACGAGGAGCUUGAACGUAGUCCUCUCUAGGAGCAUAACGGGAGUCAAUGAGUUUCCAAACGUUGUCCAUGUUGUCUCUUUGAGAGCGAUCUCCUGGCCGCCUUUCAUGAAGUAAUGGAGCCUUUGAAUCAGGUGCUUUGGUUCUCUUUGUGUUCUCCCCAUUCCUAUUGACCUCAGUUCUAGAGUAUGGACCUGGACUAUUCAUUUAAAUGCUUCAUAACAACUGCAUCAGUCCCCCGCUUGUUGUGUUCAAGGAUAUCAACAGGCAGGUCAUUAACUCCAUUUAUGCACUAAGGCACAUGAAGAAAUUCAGGAACCUUUUGCUUAAAUGGCUUAUCUAAAUCCAUAGCUGUUGCUUCUGGAUUACUUAGGACUUCUUCGGAACUCUUCAGUAUCUCCAAAAACUAUCA